CACCAGAUGGUUCUGUAGCAAAAAUUACCGGCAAAGAGGGCUUAUAUUUCUC
rnacentral:sRNA from 1 species